rnacentral:rRNA from 1 species
AUUGAACGCUGGCGGCAGGCCUAACACAUGCAAGUCGAACGAGUGGCGGACGGGUGAGUAAUGUCUGGGAAACUGCCCGUUGGAGGGGGAUAACUACUGGAAACGGUAGCUAAUACCGCGUAACAUCGGCUGUGCCCAGAUGGGAUUAGCUUGUAGGUGAGGUAACGGCUCACCUAGGCGACGAUCCCUAGCUGGUCUGAGAGGAUGACCAGCCACACUGGAAUGGAUGAACGGUCCAGACUCCUACGUGAGGCAGCAGGGGGGAAUAUUGCACAAUGGGCGCAAGCCUGAUGCAGCCAUGCCGCGGGUAUGAAGAAGGCCUUCGUGUUGUAAAGUACUUUCAGCGGUGAUGCGUUUCCCGCAGAAGAAGCACCGGCUAACUCCGUGCCAGCAGCCGCGGUAAUAC